UUCUUGUUAUUAUAAAGAGCAGGCAAUGGUGGAAAGGGAACGAGGUCUCCAUGUCUCUUAGGCUGAUUCCUGCUGUCUAGGGGUGUUGUCAAUGGGGGGUAGCUGGCUUUCACCAUAGGGAUCUACUUGGUAAACUUUCGCAUCAAGUUCCUCUGUGAACAUCAUGGAAAGUCAAGCUCUUAGUCUGCUUUAAAGCCUUACUUUCUGAAGAUGCAGUUGGUGGUAAUAGAGCAGCCAUAUCUUGCCCUCUCAUCAGAUAGAUGUUCUUAUCUGGAUGAAUCUUCAUUGUCAUGAUACCAGCAGUCCAUAUCAGCAGUGUCAGGAUACCAGCAGUCCAAUUCACCAAGCACUGCUCAGCAGAGGCAGCAUGAUGCAGCAGAAACAGCUAUCCCUCUGCCAAACUGGCAUGAGUUAGCUGGAGCAACCAGAACCAACUGAAUACCAGAAGUUCUCUGCCAUGCCUCCUUCAAUUUAAUGAAGAUCAGUGAAGACUUGAGACUAAAAAAACUUGCAAAGAUAGCUAUGCAAGUGCUCCAUCACUGUCUGUUGAGUCCUACUUAUGCCCCUAAGGAGGUGCCAGAGUCUUCAGAGCAAGGAUUGUGUGGCAAUGUACCAUUGGUCAGGGCAAGGAUGUUGGAAGAUGCUUCAUUUGCAUAUUCAGAGGUUGUGGGGUUGGAAGUGGGGGUGUAAGAAACCUUAUAAGGUCAAACAAGGAGUGAAACCUGAUACUGUCAGGAUAAUAAAUUCUUCCUAGGAUAGUGGAGCAACCCCACUUCAUGGUGCCAGGUAGGGAAUGGGGACAGAGCUAACUCCUGCCUUCUCCAUCUAAGGUAUUCCAUGUUGAAGCUCUUCUGGACCAUUCUUCUACAGUCCAAAGACAUUACAGUCCCAUAGUUUGUCUCUCUGAGUCUGGAUCAUCUCUCUCUGAACUAUUGUUUCCAGCUCCACUUUACUACAUAUUUUACAGUUUCAUUUCUCUUAAUAGCUUCCUGACCAUUCUACUAUGUAAAUAUACCUUAUUUUCAUCACCUAGUCAUCAGUUGAUUGACAUUUAGACUACUUCCAUUCUUCGUUCUCAUGAAUACAGCAGGAAUGAAGAUGGGUAAAAAGGCAUCUUUGUAGUAAGACAUAAUCUUCUUGUCUUGUGCCAAAGAGUCAUAUACCUGGGUCAUGUUGUAGAUCCUUGUGUUUUUCUUAAGAACAUCCAUACUCAUUUCCACAUUUGUUGUACCAAGUUUGCCUUCAACUAGCAGUGAAUAGGUGUACCCCUUUACCCACAUCCAUGACAGCAUUUUGAGGCAUUUUCUUUAAAUCGUAUCCACUAGGUAUGGCAUAAGAUGAGAUAUUAAAUUUCCUGUCUAAGGAUGUUGACCAUUUGCUUGUUUGUACUUUGUCUUCUGAGAACUCCCCCUUAGCUCUAAGUCACAUUUUAAAUGGGACUGUGUGUGAAUUUCUUUUAUGUUUAGUGUUUCGCUAUUUUAUAUUCUCUAAAUACAAGCCCCCAGUUAAAUAUACACCUGAGAAAGACAUUUUCCCCAUUCGCUACACUGCCUCUACACCAAAAUAACAGUGUCACUUGGUGUACAGAGCUUUUUGAUUUAGUAGGGUCCCAUUUAUUAGUCAUUGGACUCAAGGUUAAUGAUUUUUUGGGUCAUGGUCAGAAUUUUUUUCUUCUGUCAGUGUGUUAAACCAUAUUCCAAACUUUAUCCUCUCUCAGACUCACUUCCUCACUUCCUCUUCAACAUACUACUUAAGCCUUAGCCUGAGCAAUAAAUUAAGUGGAGGAGAUAAAGUUGAUACAAAUAGGAAUGCAAGGGAUCAAAAUAUCAUCCUUAUUUGCAAACAAUAACACAUAAAAGACCCUAAAGACCUCAUCAGAAAAGUCUUACAGCUAAUAAAAUUAUUAAGCUAAGUAACAGGAUAUAAAACUCAUGCACAGAAAUCAGAAAUCAUGUGAUAUGCAAAUGACACACUGUAAAAUAAAUCAGGGGAACAAUAGCACUCACAAAAUCAGGGAAACACUGAUACAACAUCCUCAAAAAUAAAUCAUGGAAAGAGUAACACUCACAAACCUCUCAAAAACAUAUCUUGGAGUAAAUAACCAAAGAAGUGCAAAUUAAAUCUUUAAGGAACUGGAGAAAGAAAUGAAGGAGCCAUCCAACCUCUCUACCCUGCCAGACUCUGCAAAUCUUUAUUCAGGGUCUAGCUGAAGGACUCUGCCCUACCCUCCUCUCCACACGCCUUUCCUAAACCCCCAUGAUGUGCCUUGGGUCCUCAUCCAGUGAUCCACCUUAGCCUAGCAGCAGAGACAUGUGCCUCUCUCCACCUCUUGGGCUCCACCAGUAUCUACCCCGCCUGUCCUCUACAGACAGGCCACUCCUGUGCCACAUCCAACCUGGUUAAAAAACUAGCCUUAUGUUACAUGACAACCAAUUAAAAAUAAUUGUAUCUAUG